GACGAACGCUGGCGGCGUGCUUAACACAUGCAAGUCGAACGGAAAGGCCCUGCUUUUGUGGGGUGCUCGAGUGGCGAACGGGUGAGUAACACGUGAGUAACCUGCCCUUGACUUUGGGAUAACUUCAGGAAACUGGGGCUAAUACCGGAUAGGAGCUCCUGCUGCAUGGUGGGGGUUGGAAAGUUUCGGCGGUUGGGGAUGGACUCGCGGCUUAUCAGCUUGUUGGUGGGGUAGUGGCUUACCAAGGCUUUGACGGGUAGCCGGCCUGAGAGGGUGACCGGCCACAUUGGGACUGAGAUACGGCCCAGACUACUACGGGAGGCAGCAGUGGGGAAUGUUGCACAAUGGGCGGAAGCCUGAUGCAGCAACGCCGCGUGCGGGAUGACGGCCUUCGGGUUGUAAACCGCUUUCGCCUGUGACGAAGCGUGAGUGACGGUAAUGGGUAAAGAAGCACCGGCUAACUACGUG
rnacentral:rRNA from 1 species